CUAUUUCAUUCUUCAACGCGCGCGAGCGAAGUCGCGCCGCAGGAGAAUCACGGCAACAUGUCAACAUGCUCAAACCGAUGACACAGAACGCCAUGCGUGACCCGUGCUAACCAGCAUUUCGCUACAAGGGCAAGCGCUUCCGGUACACAAGUUUCUGUUCCCGACUUCUCACAAUUCAAUUGUCACAUUUCAGUUGGUGGCCGUCCGCGCGGCGUGCGCAUUUCAUCGUGACCUUCAUGCGCUUCACACUUAUCGGUGCAGACCUCGGCGACUACACUUGUCGGUGCAGACCUCGGCGACUACGACUCGGCAUUAAGCUGAGAUAGUGGGCGCAGAAGUGCAUCUCCGCCAUGCCGGUUCGCCAACGAAUCGACAAACACGUGAGAUCCCGUCCGUGAAGCUCCGAUGUAUCUCACCCGUUUGGAGAGACUCCUGUGAGACUCAGUCAGAAAACCGGUGUGUGUAUGAGUAUUGAGUGAGUGUGUCUGUUUACACAUAGGCCAACAUUAGACUGUAUGUACAUAUACACUGAUUUGCAUCUACAACGACCUCCACUAUACAUUCUUCUGUACGAAGGUAUUCUGGAUUUCAACCAGGUUGCUUGGCACACUUUUACGCCGAUAACUUAUAAAAUGAUAAGUCAUCACCUUUAACUUUGGAGCUAAAGGUACCAUUGAUUUAAUCGUCGUAUGGUAUGGAUAACAUAGUCAUCAAAUUCACGUCUAAGGUAUUCUGGAUUUCAACCAGGUUGGAAUUCCUAAAGCGAUACCUUAUAAGGUAUCGCUUUAGGUUAACGAUGAUAAGUCUGAGUUUAACGUUGGAACGUGAAUUUGAUGUAGCGCUAGACCAUCGUUCUUGAUUUAAUUGUGUCAAAAAUGUCGACAACUAUAUGUAGCGCUAGACCUACGUUCUUGAUUUAAUGGUGUCAAAAAUGUCAACAAUAUAUGGGACGAAUAGACCUUCGACCUUGAUAAACGAUACCAGGUGAUUGUUACAUUUUGGUAAGUUGGGGUCGUGUAAAGAUCGGCUAGCCGAAUACCGUAUGGGAGGAUUAACUCAAGAAUGACGAGUUAUCUGGAAAUUUUCGUUUUGAUCGAUUUUCACUCUCAAGACGCUAUUUUCCCAUUCAACCGCGCGGCGCCGUACGGCAUGACGAGCGCGGUUCCGAGGGAGCAAAGCCGAACGAGCCCGAGGAGCGCGGAGCGUCCCCUCGCUCUCGAUCCUCGCCCGCACUCCUCCGCUGCCGCGCGAGCGAGUCUGAGGUUUCUGGUGCGCUCCGCGACGGAGCGAAGGACCUCGCGAGGCGAAAUUUCCUUUCAACUCCCUUUCAAACGCUACCCGAUCAAAAAUUUCGGGAGCAACCGGGCGGACAAAUCUGAAAAUUUUCCCCUCCGGGGUGUCCACACCUGCCUGAAAUCCAGAAUACCUUCGAAGGUACGAAGGUAUAGAAUACCUUCGAAGGUAGAAUAUAAUGUCGAAUGGCCAACUUUAUUAUUUGUAAUAUGAUACUCUUACCUUCAUAUGAUAUCAACUUGAGAUUUCUUCACACACGGCGCGCCGGGCGAUUUCCAAAAUGCGCUCAACAACCCCCAUUUCAAGUUAAGCAGCGGCUUUGUCUUUGGGAAGCCGGAUUUCGCCGACGAUGC
rnacentral:lncRNA from 1 species